rnacentral:rRNA from 1 species
UACGUAGGGUGCAAGCGUUGUCCGGAAUUAUUGGGCGUAAAGAGCUUGUAGGCGGUUUGUCGCGUCUGCCGUGAAAAUUCGAGGCUCAACCUCGAACUUGCGGUGGGUACGGGCAGACUAGAGUGUGGUAGGGGAGACUGGAAUUCCUGGUGUAGCGGUGAAAUGCGCAGAUAUCAGGAGGAACACCGGUGGCGAAGGCGGGUCUCUGGGCAACAACUGACGCUGAGGCACGAAAGCCAGGGGAGCGAACGGG